UACGUAGGGUGCAAGCGUUAUCCGGAAUUAUUGGGCGUAAAGAGCUCGUAGGCGGUCUGUCGCGUCUGCUGUGAAAACUGGGGGCUCAACCCCCAGCCUGCAGUGGGUACGGGCAGACUAGAGUGCGGUAGGGGAGAUUGGAACUCCUGGUGUAGCGGUGGAAUGCGCAGAUAUCAGGAAGAACACCGAUGGCGAAGGCAGAUCUCUGGGCCGUAACUGACGCUGAGGAGCGAAAGCAUGGGGAGCGAACAGG
rnacentral:rRNA from 1 species